UGCACCCUGAGGUAUCAGGGACGCCGUAAUGAACUUCAAUGAAUAGUCUCUGAGCGACAAAAUACAAAUUCCAAAACGACAAAUCAACCGCGAAGCAUUCCUAUCGAAUUGACACAAGAGGGAAGUAAGACGAAAAAAGACCCAAGCUUCUGUACCAUCACAUAUCACAUCCCACUCACGAUGAAUUUGAAGUAAGCUCUUCGCUUGACCGAAUUUUAGAACCAGGAGGGUAACGCUAAGAUAUUCUGACGUUUCGGUCAGUGAAUAACGCCAGAUAUGUGGAGUAUUUCUUUUCUUUGAGGACAUGUUAUCAAUUUGUAUUUUCACAAUUUUGUGGCCUUGUUAACUAGACGGCCAAGCCAAACACAGCUUUAAAGUGUAAAAGAAAAGACAGUUCUUAUCUCAGAAUGUGCGUGUUGUGAUUGUCUGGCAAUUGUCAGAACUUUGUUUGUAUUUCAGAUUAUAUUUGCUUUUAAGAACUAAAAAAGUUAGGCUUCUUUCAGGUCUUGUCUUUAAAUAACAAGAGCGUAGCAAUAAAAGGGAUUUAGACGAAAUUUUAUCCUGGAGGAAGAGAAUUAUGGGUGACACGAAAACAAACAAAAUUAAAAUACAUUGGGCAAAUAUG